UAGCUACUCCCUCCGUCCCAUAUUAAGUGACUCAAAUUUGUCAAAAUAUGGAUGUAUCUAUGCCUAAUAGAAAGUCACUUAAUAUGGGACGGAGGGAGUAGUAU
rnacentral:pre_miRNA from 1 species